UCUAUUCGAACUUGCAAAACUUCAAUCCGAGCGUCCGAACGAGGUAUAUCUGACCUUCUUCAGACCGCUUGUGUCGAGCGUUACGCAAUGACAUGGAUUAGAGGUUGUACGAAGUCAGGAAGAGGGGUCUAUGCCCAUGGUCUUCAAGCUUUAAAUUCUAUCCAAAGUACUGCCACACGUAAUAGUCACUCGGGAUUGUUACUCCUCG
rnacentral:lncRNA from 1 species